AAAUUGAAGAGUUUGAUCAUGGCUCAGAUUGAACGCUGGCGGCAGGCCUAACACAUGCAAGUCGAACGGUAACAGGAAGCAGCUUGCUGCUUUGCUGACGAGUGGCGGACGGGUGAGUAAUGUCUGGGAAACUGCCUGAUGGAGGGGGAUAACUACUGGAAACGGUAGCUAAUACCGCAUAAUGUCGCAAGACCAAAGAGGGGGACCUUCGGGCCUCUUGCCAUCGGAUGUGCCCAGAUGGGAUUAGCUAGUAGGUGGGGUAACGGCUCACCUAGGCGACGAUCCCUAGCUGGUCUGAGAGGAUGACCAGCCACACUGGAACUGAGACACGGUCCAGACUCCUACGGGAGGCAGCAGUGGGGAAUAUUGCACAAUGGGCGCAAGCCUGAUGCAGCCAUGCCGCGUGUAUGAAGAAGGCCUUCGGGUUGUAAAGUACUUUCAGCGGGGAGGAAGGGAGUAAAGUUAAUACCUUUGCUCAUUGACGUUACCCGCAGAAGAAGCACCGGCUAACUCCGUGCCAGCAGCCGCGGUAAUACGGAGGGUGCAAGCGUUAAUCGGAAUUACUGGGCGUAAAGCGCACGCAGGCGGUUUGUUAAGUCAGAUGUGAAAUCCCCGGGCUCAACCUGGGAACUGCAUCUGAUACUGGCAAGCUUGAGUCUCGUAGAGGGGGGUAGAAUUCCAGGUGUAGCGGUGAAAUGCGUAGAGAUCUGGAGGAAUACCGGUGGCGAAGGCGGCCCCCUGGACGAAGACUGACGCUCAGGUGCGAAAGCGUGGGGAGCAAACAGGAUUAGAUACCCUGGUAGUCCACGCCGUAAACGAUGUCGACUUGGAGGUUGUGCCCUUGAGGCGUGGCUUCCGGAGCUAACGCGUUAAGUCGACCGCCUGGGGAGUACGGCCGCAAGGUUAAAACUCAAAUGAAUUGACGGGGGCCCGCACAAGCGGUGGAGCAUGUGGUUUAAUUCGAUGCAACGCGAAGAACCUUACCUGGUCUUGACAUCCACAGAACUUUCCAGAGAUGGAUUGGUGCCUUCGGGAACUGUGAGACAGGUGCUGCAUGGCUGUCGUCAGCUCGUGUUGUGAAAUGUUGGGUUAAGUCCCGCAACGAGCGCAACCCUUAUCCUUUGUUGCCAGCGGUCCGGCCGGGAACUCAAAGGAGACUGCCAGUGAUAAACUGGAGGAAGGUGGGGAUGACGUCAAGUCAUCAUGGCCCUUACGACCAGGGCUACACACGUGCUACAAUGGCGCAUACAAAGAGAAGCGACCUCGCGAGAGCAAGCGGACCUCAUAAAGUGCGUCGUAGUCCGGAUUGGAGUCUGCAACUCGACUCCAUGAAGUCGGAAUCGCUAGUAAUCGUGGAUCAGAAUGCCACGGUGAAUACGUUCCCGGGCCUUGUACACACCGCCCGUCACACCAUGGGAGUGGGUUGCAAAAGAAGUAGGUAGCUUAACCUUCGGGAGGGCGCUUACCACUUUGUGAUUCAUGACUGGGGUGAAGUCGUAACAAGGUAACCGUAGGGGAACCUGCGGUUGGAUCACCUCCUUACCUUAAAGAAGC
rnacentral:rRNA from 1 species